CAUUACAGCCAUAUCACACUGAAAACACCGGUUCUCAUCUGAUCACCAAAGUUGAGCAAUAUCAAGCCUAGUUAGUACUUAGAUGGGUGACCUCUUGGGAAACUUAGGUGCUGUUAACA
rnacentral:rRNA from 1 species